rnacentral:misc_RNA from 1 species
GCAGGAUCAUAAAUAAAAAAGAUGAGAUUAUUAUAAUGAAAGUGUAUGCUGACAUUAUAAUAAUCUUGUCUAUGUUCUAAAUACAAAAUACCUUCACGAGGUUUAGAAUGAGUGAUAUAAGGAAGUUAUAUUAGCUAAAUUACUGUUUUUAUGCGUAAGUUGAUUUUAAAAAGCGUGUAGUUAGGUGUAGAGAACAAUAUUUAAAAAUUUAAUCUAAUAAGGUUGUAAUUACUUUUAUGCUAUUGAUAUCAAGAAUAUAAACUUGAAACAACACACUUAUUUCAACA